ensembl:piRNA 21ur-4950 ncRNA
UAUAAUGUCGAAACAGACAGA